CGCCCCCUAUACGUCAUCAUUGAGUAAACUUUGACCCGGAACCUCACAGUCAGCAGACACUUCCUGGGAGGUAGGGUCUGCUGCUGAUUGGGUGGAAUGUGUCUGCUGGCUGUGAGGUUCCGGGUCAAAGUUUACUCAAUGAUGACGUAUAGGGGGCG
rnacentral:miRNA from 1 species